AAACACACUGAUAUGUACACCUCCUACACCUUAUUACCUUUUAGGGGAGAGGGAGCACGCUGAUUCCUGGUGAUCCAGAAUGCUGGUUAUGUGGCCCGUACCUCCGCUUCUCCCUCUCGCGAGAGCCGGUGUUUCAGAGCUUUGCUGUGGGUUACCAUGGCAAUGCUCUGAUAAUAUCCGUGCUCACGAGAGGGAGACAAGAAGGCUGCUCUGUGUGUUGUCUGUGGCUUACUGGUGCAUUUCUCCCUCCCACCCAGUAACUCAACCUUCACUGUCAUCCAUGAGGGUCCGGUGCUGCACUGCAUGGGCUGACAGGGGGAUUCCCUUGAUCUCCCCUGCUGGCCUCGGCCCACACAUUUAUGUGCGUAUCUCUAAUCUCUAUCAUGGGCUUGGCACUCACAUUCCUGUCCUGUUCUUGCCUCGGUGCUAUUUCGUGCUCCAAUACAACGUCCCAGAGAAAUGCACUCAGUGGGCUUGUAGUCUUGUGCAAUAUAUCCUUUAUGUGUGCAAAGGUACAGUCAACAUUUCAGUCUGACUUGGAUUUUUUUUUUUUUCAAGAACGGUCUUUCCUUUCUCUUUGGGUUUAUGGAAGUAUAAGAUCUGGUUUGUUCUG